GGGGUUGUGGCUCAGAGGUAGAGCGCUUGCCUAGCGUGCAAGAGGCACUAGAUUCGAUCCUCAGCACCA
rnacentral:tRNA from 1 species